CUGCGCACUCCUACGGGAGGCAGCAGUGGGGAAUAUUGCACAAUGGGCGCAAGCCUGAUGCAGCCAUGCCGCGUGUAUGAAGAAGGCCUUCGGGUUGUAAAGUACUUUCAGCAGUGAGGAAGGUGGAUAUGUUAAUAGCAUAUUCAUUUGACGUUAGCUGCAGAAGAAGCACCGGCUAACUCCGUGCCAGCAGCCGCGGUAAUACGGAGGGUGCGAGCGUUAAUCGGAAUUACUGGGCGUAAAGCGCAUGCAGGUGGUUUGUUAAGUCAGAUGUGAAAGCCCGGGGCUCAACCUCGGAAUUGCAUUUGAAACUGGCAAACUAGAGUACUGUAGAGGGGGUAGAAUUUCAGGUGUAGCGGUGAAAUGCGUAGAGAUCUGAAGGAAUACCGGUGGCGAAGGCGGCCCCCUGGACAGAUACUGACACUCAGAUGCGAAAGCGUGGGGAGCAAACAGGAUUAGAUACCCUGGUAG
rnacentral:rRNA from 1 species